AACGAACGCUGGCGGCAUGCCUAACACAUGCAAGUCGAACGAGACCUUCGGGUCUAGUGGCGCACGGGUGCGUAACGCGUGGGAACCUGCCCUUAGGUUCGGAAUAACUCCCCGAAAGGGGUGCUAAUACCGGAUAAUGUCUUCGGACCAAAGAUUUAUCGCCUUUGGAUGGGCCCGCGUUGGAUUAGCUAGUUGGUAGGGUAAAAGCCUACCAAGGCGACGAUCCAUAGCUGGUCUGAGAGGAUGAUCAGCCACACUGGGACUGGGACACGGCCCAGACUCCUACGGGAGGCAGCAGUGGGGAAUAUUGGACAAUGGGCGAAAGCCUGAUCCAGCAAUGCCGCGUGAGUGCUGAAGGCCUUAGGGUUGUAAAGCUCUUUUACCCGGGAUGAUAAUGACAGUACCGGGAGAAUAAGCUCCGGCUAACUCCGUG
rnacentral:rRNA from 1 species